rnacentral:rRNA from 1 species
GACAAGAAAUAACAAUACAGGGCUUAAUGUCUUGUAAUUGGAAUGAUGGGAAUUUAAACCUCUUCCAGAGUAUCAAUUGGAGGGCAAGUCUGGUGCCAGCAGCCGCGGUAAUUCCAGCUCCAAUAGCGUAUAUUAAAAUUGUUGCAGUUAAAAAGCUCGUAGUUGAAUUUCUGCUGCAUUGCAUUUGCUCCUUGACGAGUGUCUGUAUUGCGGCUUAUUUCGGAUUAUGCUUGCAUUUUCCGGAUGUUUACUUUGAGAAAAUUAGAGUGCUCAAAGCAGGCUUUUGCCUUGAAUAGUUUAGCAUGGAAUAAUAAAGUAGGACUUUGGUUCUAUUUUGUUGGUUUUAGGUACCAAAGUAAUGGUUAAUAGGAACAGUUGGGGGCAUUCGUAUUUAACUGUCAGAGGUGAAAUUCUUAG